UACGUAGGGGGCGAGCGUUGUCCGGAUUUACUGGGCGUAAAGGGUGAGUAGGCGGUAAUAUAUGUCAGGUGUAAAAGAUCAUGGCUUAACCAUGGUUAGCACUUGAAACUGUAUGACUUGAGUGCAGGAGAGGUAAGCGGAAUUCCUAGUGUAGCGGUGAAAUGCGUAGAUAUUAGGAGGAACACCAGUGGCGAAGGCGGCUUACUGGACUGUAACUGACGCUGAGUCACGAAAGUGUGGGGAUCAAACAGGAUUAGAUACCCUGGUA
rnacentral:rRNA from 1 species